CUUGAUACACACAGGAAACUGUUGUGUAUAAAAAAAACAGCAGUGUUGCAGUUCUUGACUCAAACCGGAGUGCCUGGCACCUACUACCAUACCCCGUUCAAAGGCACUUACAUUUUUUUGUCUUGCCAUUUUGUCCUCUGCAUGGCACACAUACAAAGUCUCAUUGAUUUUGAAAUGGAUUUAACAAGUGACAUCAAUAAGGGAUCUUAGCUUUCCUGUCCUACAGUAUCUUAUCCAACCCCCCUUCCCUUUCCUGUCCUAUAGUAUCUUAUCCAACCCCCCUUCCCUUUCCUGUCCUACAGUAUCUUAUCCAACCCCCCUUCCCUUUCCUGUCCUACAGUAUCUUAUCCAACCCCCCUUCCCUUUCCUGUCCUACAGUAUCUUAUCCAACCCCCCUUCCCUUUCCUGUCCUACAGCAUCUUAUCCAACCCCACUUCCCUUUCCUGUCCUACAGCAUCUUAUCCAACCCCCCUUCCCUUUCCUGUCCUACAGCAUCUUAUCCAACACCCCUUCCCUUUCCUGUCCUACAGUAUCUUAUCCAACCCCACUUCCCUUUCCUGUCCUACAGCAUCUUAUCCAACCCCCCUUCCCUCCUGUCCUACAGCAUCUUAUCGAACCCCCUUCCCUUUCCUGUCCUACAGCAUCUUAUCCAACCCUACCUCUCCUGGCCUACAGCAUCUUAUCCAACUCCCCCUUUCCUGUCCUACAGCAUCUUAUCCAACCCCCUUCCCUUUCCUGUCCUACAGCAUCUUAUCCACCCCCCCCCACUCCUGUCCUACAGCAUCUUAUCCAACUCCCCCUUUCCUGUCCUACAGCAUCUUAUCCAACCCCCUUCCCUUUCCUGUCCUACAGCAUCUUAUCCAACCCCCCUUCCCUUUCCUGUCCUACAGCAACUUAUCCAACCCCCCUUCCCUUUCAUGUCCUACAGCAUCUUAUCCAACUCCCCUUUCCUGUCCUACAGCAUCUUAUCCAACUCCCCUUUCCUGUCCUACAGCAUCUUAUCCAACUCCCCUUUCCUGUCCUACAGCAUCUUAUCCAACUCCCCUUUCCUGUCCUACAGCAUCUUAUCCAACUCCCCUUUCCUGUCCUACAGCAUCUUAUCCAACUCCCCUUUCCUGUCCUACAGCAUCUUAUCCAACACCACUUCCCAUUCCUUUCCUAUACCGUCUUAUUCAAACCCCCCCUUCUCAUUCAAAUCAAGUUUUAUU
rnacentral:lncRNA from 1 species